UACGGAGGGUGCAAGCGUUGCUCGGAAUUAUUGGGCGUAAAGGGCACGUAGGUGGUCUCAUUUGUCUAGGGUGAAAGCCUUGAGCUUAACUCAAGAAGUGCCCCGGAAACGGUGAGACUCGAGUCCUAGAGAGGGUCGUGGAAUUCCCGGUGUAGCGGUGAAAUGCGUAGAGAUCGGGAGGAACACCAGAGGCGAAGGCGGCGACCUGGAUAGGAACUGACACUGAGGAGCGAAAGCCAGGGGAGCAAACGGG
rnacentral:rRNA from 1 species